GAAUAUUGGACAAUGGGUGAGAGCCUGAUCCAGCCAUGCCGCGUGCAGGAAGAAGGCGUCAUGCGUUGUAAACUGCUUUUGCCAGGGGAUAAAAUGAGCGUGCGCGCUUAAUUGAAGGUACCUGGUGAAUAAGCCACGGCUAACUACGUGCCAGCAGCCGCGGUAAUACGUAGGUGGCAAGCGUUGUCCGGAUUUAUUGGGUUUAAAGGGUGCGUAGGUGGCCCUGUAAGUCAGUGGUGAAAUAUCUCAGCUUAACUGAGAGGGUGCCAUUGAUACUGCAGGGCUUGAGUACAGAUGAGGUAGGCGGAAUUGACGGUGUAGCGGUGAAAUGCAUAGAUAUCGUCAAGAACACCGAUAGCGAAGGCAGCUUACCAAGCUGUAACUGACACUGAGGCACGAAAGUGUGGGGAUCAAACAGG
rnacentral:rRNA from 1 species